rnacentral:tRNA from 1 species
UCUACUAAAGGAGAGCAGCCCCCCAUUGGUCUUAGGCGCCAAAACCCUUGGUGCAAAUCCAAGUAGUAGAA